UCGGACAACGGAGAGCUGGCAAAGGCCGUGGUGCUGACAGGUCGCCCCUUUGAGAGCAAAAUGGCUCUGUCGACCCCUGUGUCUGGAUUGUCUCUUCCAUGGCUGGUGCUGCUGCUUCUCCUGGAAAUCCCUGGGGCCGGGGCCGAGGAGUUCCAGCUGCUGCAGCCCCAGGACCCCGUGUGGGUGUCAGCGGGAGAGACUCUCACUCUGACCUGCUCUGUGACCGGCCACGCUCCACCAGGAGCCGUGAAGUGGUUCAAGGCCUCGGGCGGGGGCCGGCAGCUCGUUUAUGCAGAGAGGGGAUCAUUCCCCCGGGUGACGCGGGCUGUGAGUGUCUCUGACACAGACUUCACCAUCCGCAUCAGCGACACCCGCCCCGCGGACGCCGGGACCUAUCACUGUGUGAAGUUUAAGAAGGGGUUGGGAGCCGAUGAGGAGAUCAGAUCCGGCGCGGGCACGGCCGUGACUGUGAGCGCCAGCCCCUCGGCUCCGUCCGUGUCCGGCCCCCCCAGCAGGGCGGAGCCGGAUACCUCAGUGACUUUCACCUGCACGUCAGGAGGAUUCUCCCCCAGAGAUAUCACUGUGACCUGGCUCAAAAAUGGGACCAAACUCCCAGCCCCCCAGCCCCGGGUUCUCCCCGAACACGAGAGCGUCUCCUACAACAUGUCCAGCACCGUGGGGGUGAGCCUGACCCGAGGAGACGUCCGCUCCCAGCUCACCUGUCAGAUAAAGCACAGCACCUUACCGGCUCCCCUGCGUGGGACCUACAACCUCAGCGAUGCCCUGCGAGUUCCACCCAGGCUGCGAGUGGGCACUGACCCAGCAGCGCCCGUCGCACUGAACGAGUCUGUGACGUUCACCUGCCACGCGGAGGGGUUUUACCCGAAGAAUGCGAGUCUCACCUGGCUGGAGAACGGAAAUGAGACGAAUCUUGGAAAAUCCUCCCCCCUGGCCGAGAAUCCAGAUGGGACGUACACGCUGCAGAGCUCCCUGGAGGUCAAAGCAACUGAGCAGAGGAAUCAGUCCAUGUUCACCUGUCAGGUUGUGCACGAUUCCCAGCCCCCCGCCAGUGCCAGCCAGAUGCUGACAAUCUCCCAGCCACCUCCUGAGCCAAGCAAAGAUGGUCCUUCACCUGAUGGAGGUAAAUGUGCAGCUGAACCCUCCCCUGCACUGCUGGGAAAUGCCAGGUCUGUUCUGCUGAACCCAGGGGUCCUUUCAGCCAAUCUCCGGCAGUGGAGCGCCUCAGUGUAACAGCGACUCUUUUAUUCCAGGAUUAUUGCUCAGCUCUGCUCUCCUGGGGCCCGUGGGCGCCGCGGGAAGGGGAAGGUUGAGGGCAGGAAAUGCCACUUUGGCUGCACUCUGUGGCAAGGGAAGAUGCUCUCUGCAGCCCUGCAGGGUGUGAAUGUCCCUAGGAGAGGGGCUCGAACAUGGUGACUCCCGCAGAGCUGGUGAUCCAAGGACUCCGGCACUGCUCAGAGAUUUGAGGCUUUUAAGUAAAAGUGCAGGUGGUUCCUGAGUCCUUAUUCUCCUUCUCUGCGAAGCUCGAGGUCUCCACUGUAGAGUCUGGGCCAGCCGCGUGUGGAACCAGCUGCCAGGCAGAGCUGGGCAAACUCUGCAGAGGCCAUUUUUCCAAACUGCUGUUCACAGGUAGGAACUCGCCAAGCCCCGUGGAAGGCCAGUUUCCUCAGAGCCUGGUAAAGGUGACCAGAGUCAGGGCGGGAUGGCCGGGAACCAGCAGUUCUCUUGUCUGCUGGGGGUUUCUCUCCAUUGGCUGAUCUGAGGCAUUUCCACUGCAGAUCAGAUCCUGUUCUCCAGCUCCGCUCUCUGGAUCGGGCUCUUCCUGGAGAAGAUGCUGACUGCCGCCUUCCUCCUCUUCCUCUUCCUGAGAAGUAAAGAGUAACCAGCCCCUGGUCUAUUUCCCAGAUUUCUCGCACUGUCGCCACCUGCCAACUUCUCUGUCAUCAGCCUCUGCCCCGCAGCCCAGGAAAGGAGUCCCUAUAUGGUGGAGCUGCAGUGACCCCUGCUGGCCAAUGCGAUUGAGUCCAGGCCCCUGAUGGGACAUACCCACCGCUCACUCAUGCCUACUGAUUGCGAAUCCUGACUGGGCUCCCUGCUCCUUCUCGCCCACUGGUUCUCAAACUUGGGAUCGCGACCCAGUUGUGUGGGGGGUCGCGAGCCCAGACCCUGGCGCGGGGCUGCGAGCCAUGAGCCGCGACCCCUGCGCCAGGCUGCGAGCCCUGACCCCAAGAGCGGCGCGUGGCUGCGAGCUCCGACCCCCACCCCAAUUUGGGGCUGUGAGCCCUGACCCCGAACCUGGCCAGGAGCGGGGCUGCGAGCUUUGAGUCUCGACCCCUGUGCUGGGCUGCAACCACGACACCCGACCCUGACACCGGCGCGGGGCUGUGAGUCCCGACCCCCGUAUGGGGCUGCAGAGCUGCGAGCCCCAACCCCAACCCUGCUAGCCAGGAGGGGACCCCGAAUACAGAUUAUACAAAGGUUAUAUACUUUUUAGCAAAGCAUGUUGCCCUCGUGCAUUGAAAACCUUAGCCAAUAAACAAACCCUUGUCUU